AUGUCUCAGAGAAAGUGUCACAUAAGAGCAAUGAUGGGUCACUGUCCUGAAAGGCUGAGGGGCUGUUCAGUGAGCAUGGGAGCUAAACCAUUGCAGGAUAGAAAGCCUCUGGAGGAAGCAUGGACUAACACUUCAGGAUUCAGAGAAGAAAUCAUGCUCCAGUAAUUAAACGUGUAUCUUGGCAUUCAAGGGGAAAAGUGUUAGAGGAGCACGACACCUCCAGUUGCCCUGCCUGUGGCCAGCAUCCACAAUAUGUGAAGCACCUGUUGGAGGCACAGAGCAGACCUCCACGUUAUCACCACCAAGAAUUACAAGGAACUCCAGUACCACCCCUUGUGGCAGGAGAUUCAGUAUUCUCAGGUCCUGAGAAUGCAAUCUGUACAGUCAAUACAAUUAUUAGUGCUUAUUAAAAGAAGCUCAUUGGGACGAAAUGACUGAGAUGGACUUAUGAUGAGCAGGAGUCUCCAUCUUGAAUUAAAAAUGUCUCAUUCUCUCCCUGUGCUUUAUGAAUCUGGUGUGUAUUUGGGAAAUUUCUAAUAUGUGUCUGUUUCAGCUGAAGCUUAUAAUGUAAAUAGGCAUAAGAACAUUUGGCAGAUAACCCAAAUUACAGCUUCGCCACUGCAAUUUCAUUAUAAAAUAGAUAUAUUAGAAAACUAAUCUGCUGGGAGGUACAGCACAAACCGACACUUGCCUUUAAGCUCUUACAAUGCCUGAAUUAAAGAAUUUAUUAUUAUUAUUACCUUAACAUAUUUAAAUUAAAGUCAAUCAAGUAUGUAUCUGAACUCUGGGAUAAAUUAUUAUCACUGUGUCAGUGCCUUGAAAUCUGUUAAUUAUCUAGGAAGAAUCCAUUUGGAGACUUGCUGCACAGAUAGAUAUGUACCAUGUUCCUGAUCUGAAGACUUUCACCUGUCAUUUAAAAUAAGAUUAAUCUCUUGAAUAUCAAUACAUGAGUGCAGGGUCAUGAAUCUGAAUGAAAUGAUUCUAAGGCAAUCUCAUAAUAAAAUUAAACUCCGGCUUCUUUACUGGAGGCUA
rnacentral:lncRNA from 1 species